rnacentral:rRNA from 1 species
GGAUUAGAUACCCUGGUAGUCCUCGCCGUAAACGAUGCAUACUAGAUGUAGCUGGAAUCAAUCCUGGCUUUGUCGUAGCUAACGCGUUAAGUAUGCCGCCUGGGGAGUACGCUCGCAAGGGUGAAACUCAAAAGAAUUGACGGGGACCCGCACAAGCAGUGGAUCAUGUGGUUUAAUUCGAUACAACGCGAAGAACCUUACCUGGGUUUGACAUAUAGGGGAUCGCUUCAGAAAUGAAGUUUCUCUUCGGAGCCGCUAUACAGGUGCUGCAUGGCUGUCGUCAGCUCGUGCCG